UACGGAGGGUGCGAGCGUUGUCCGGAAUCACUGGGCGUAAAGGGCGCGUAGGCGGCCUGAUAAGUAGGGGGUGAAAUCCUGCGGCUUAACCGCAGGGCUGCCUUCUAAACUGUCGGGCUAGAGCACGGUAGAGGCAGAUGGAAUUCCCGGUGUAGCGGUGGAAUGCGUAGAGAUCGGGAAGAACAUCAGUGGCGAAGGCGGUCUGCUGGGCCGUUGCUGACGCUGAGGCGCGACAGCGUGGGAGCAAACAGG
rnacentral:rRNA from 1 species